GACGAAGGGGGCUAGCGUUGUUCGGAAUUACUGGGCGUAAAGCGUGUGUAGGUGGUUGUCAUAGUCAGGGGUGAAAUCCUGGAGCUCAACUCCAGAACUGCCUUUGAUACUGAAGAUCUUGAGUUCGGGAGAGGUGAGUGGAACUGCGAGUGUAGAGGUGAAAUUCGUAGAUAUUCGCAAGAACACCAGCGGCGAAGGCGGCUCACUGGCCCGAUACUGACGCUGAGGCACGAAAGCGUGGGGAGCAAACAGG
rnacentral:rRNA from 1 species